AUUGAAACGCUGGCGGCAGGCCUAACACAUGCAAGUCGAGCGGUAGAGAGAAGCUUGCUUCUCUUGAAGAGCGGCGGACGGGUGAGUAAUGCCUAGGAAUCUGCCUGGUAGUGGGGGAUAACGUUCGGAAAACGGACGCUAAUACCGCAUACGUCCUACGGGAGAAAGCAGGGGACCUUCGGGCCUUGCGCUAUCAGAUGAGCCUAGGUCGGAUUAGCUAGUUGGUGAGGUAAUGGCUCACCAAGGCGACGAUCCGUAACUGGUCUGAGAGGAUGAUCAGUCACACUGGAACUGAGACACGGUCCAGACUCCUACGGGAGGCAGCAGUGGGGAAUAUUGGACAAUGGGCGAAAGCCUGAUCCAGCCAUGCCGCGUGUGUGAAGAAGGUCUUCGGAUUGUAAAGCACUUUAAGUUGGGAGGAGGGGUUGUAGAUUAAUACUCUGCAAUUUUGACGUUACUGACAGAAUAAGCACCGGCUAACUCUGUGCCAGCAGCCGCGGUAAUACAGAGGGUGCAAGCGUUAAUCGGAAUUACUGGGCGUAAAGCGCGCGUAGGUGGUUUGUUAAGUUGGAUGUGAAAUCCCCGGGCUCAACCUGGGAACUGCAUUCAAAACUGACUGACUAGAGUAUGGUAGAGGGUGGUGGAAUUUCCUGUGUAGCGGUGAAAUGCGUAGAUAUAGGAAGGAACACCAGUGGCGAAGGCGACCACCUGGACUAAUACUGACACUGAGGUGCGAAAGCGUGGGGAGCAAACAGG
rnacentral:rRNA from 1 species